UACAGAGGUCCCAAGCGUUGUUCGGAUUCACUGGGCGUAAAGGGUGCGUAGGCGGUCGGGUAAGUCUGAUGUGAAAUCUCUGAGCUCAACUCAGAAACUGCAUUGGAUACUAUUCGGCUAGAGGAGUGGAGGGGGGACUGGAAUACUUGGUGUAGCAGUGAAAUGCGUAGAUAUUGUCAAGAACACCGAUUGCGUAGGCAGCUUACUAAGCUAUAACUGACGCUGAGGCACGAAAGUGUGGGGAUCAAACAGG
rnacentral:rRNA from 1 species